AUCUGUUUCAGCAAUUCUCUAACUUCAAACUCAAAGAAUCCACAGAGAAAAGUGACAGUGAUAAAGGACAAGAGAUGAUUUCUCAAGUGAUGGACAAUGUAAAGCCUUGGUCUUAAGAGAUAGGCUAUUGGGCAGUUGCUGGUCCUUUAAAAAAAAAAAAAAUCACAGAAUUACACAGAAUUUCAGGGGUUGGAAGGGACAUUUGGGUAUCAUUGAGUCCAACUCCUGGAUAAAGCAGGUUCCCUACAGUAGGUUGCACAGGAAAGAAGAAGAAAAAUAAGAAGAUGAAGAAAAAGAAAGGAAAUUGAAAUAGUAUCCAAAGGCACAGUCUCAGAAUAUCGUAUGAAGAGAAAAAAUAUCUGCCCAGAUAUGAUUACUCUGGAGACAAAGCAGUUGUACUGAUCCAAGUGCAGGCCCUCAAGGAGAGAAGUGCUAUCCGCAAUGAGUACAGAUGGCAAAAUCUUGUUCUGCUGAAUUGACCCUGCGUUUCUACACUUCCUGCUGUAGCUAUGCUAUGGUAGCAGGAGGUCUGCUCUGAUCUCUCUUCUUGUGAAAUCAUUAUCCCUGGAAAAGCUAGCUAGUCAUUAAAUAUUAAAUAAAAUUAAACUCAGUACAUGUAGUUGUUCUGACAAUUCAUUUUACUGACAGCGGAAUUUUGUUCCCACUUUUUGAAGAAAAAUGUGAAGACACUACAGAAGUGUUUCAUCGCUUCACCAAGAAGCAAAUAUCCUUUCUGUCUGUUUACCCAGGGGAGGAAAAGUUAAUCACAUGCACACUACUCCACUAUGCUGUAUCAUGAGAAAGAAGCCAAGUUCAAGUAUCCAUCAUACUGCCAUAGUACCAGCAGAG
rnacentral:lncRNA from 1 species